UAAUACAUGCAAGUCGAGCGGAGAAAUGGGAGCUUGCUCCUAUUUCUCAGCGGCGGACGGGUGAGUAACACGUGGGCAACCUGCCCUACAGACUGGGAUAACUCCGGGAAACCGGAGCUAAUACCGGGUAUAUACAUAGCAUCGCAUGAUGCAAYGUUGAAAGUUGGCCUUUGGCUAACACUGUAGGAUGGGCCCGCGGCGCAUUAGCUAGUUGGUAAGGUAACGGCUUACCAAGGCCACGAUGCGUAGCCGACCUGUAGAGGGUGAUCGGCCACACUGGGACUGAGACACGGCCCAGACUCUACGGGAGGCAGCAGUAGGGAAUCUUCCGCAAUGGACGAAAGUCUGACGGAGCAACGCCGCGUGAGUGACGAAGGCUUCGGGUCGUAAAGCUCUGUUGUUAGGGAAGAACAAGUACCGUUCGAAUAGGGCGGUACCUUGACGGUACCUAACCAGAAAGCCACGGCUAACUACGUGCCAGCAGCCGCGGUAAUACGUAGGUGGCAAGCGUUGUCCGGAAUUAUUGGGCGUAAAGCGCGCGCAGGCGGUCUCUUAAGUCUGAUGUGAAAGCCCACGGCUCAACCGUGGAGGGCCAUUGGAAACUGGGGGACUUGAGUGCAGAAGAGGAGAGUGGAAUUCCACGUGUAGCGGUGAAAUGCGUAGAUAUGUGGAGG
rnacentral:rRNA from 1 species